rnacentral:rRNA from 1 species
AACGAACGCUGGCGGCGUGCCUAACACAUGCAAGUCGAACGCCCCGCAAGGGGAGUGGCAGACGGGUGAGUAACGCGUGGGAACAUACCCUUUCCUGCGGAAUAGCUCCGGGAAACUGGAAUUAAUACCGCAUACGCCCUACGGGGGAAAGAUUUAUCGGGGAAGGAUUGGCCCGCGUUGGAUUAGCUAGUUGGUGGGGUAAAGGCCUACCAAGGCGACGAUCCAUAGCUGGUCUGAGAGGAUGAUCAGCCACAUUGGGACUGAGACACGGCCCAAACUCCUACGGGAGGCAGCAGUGGGGAAUAUUGGACAAUGGGCGCAAGCCCGAUCCAGCCAUGCCGCGUGAGUGAUGAAGGCCUUAGGGUUGUAAAGCUCUUUCACCGGAGAAGAUAAUGACGGUAUCCGGAGAAGAAGCCCCGGCUAACUUCGUGCCAGCCGCCGCGGUAAGAC